rnacentral:rRNA from 1 species
UAUGCCCUUUGUACGGAAUAGCCUCUGGAAACGGAGAGUAAUACCGUAUGAGCCCUUCGGGGAAAGAUUUAUCGCCAAAGGAUUAGCCCGCGUUAGAUUAGGUAGUUGGUGGGGUAAUGGCCUACCAAGCCUACGAUCUAUAGCUGGUUUUAGAGGAUGAUCAGCAACACUGGGACUGAGACACGGCCCAGACUCCUACGGGAGGCAGCAGUGGGGAAUCUUGGACAAUGGGGGCAACCCUGAUCCAGCCAUGCCGCGUGAGUGAUGAAGGCCUUAGGGUCGUAAAGCUCUUUCGCCUGUGAAGAUAAUGACGGUAGCAGGUAAAGAAACCCCGGCUAACUCCGUGCCAGCAGCCGCGGUAAUACGGAG